rnacentral:rRNA from 1 species
CCUACGGGUGGCAGCAGUCGAGAAUUUUUGACAAUGGGGGAAACCCUGAUCGAGCGACGCCGCGUGGAGGAUGAAGGUCUUCGGGUUGUAAACUCCUGUCAUUUGGGAACAAGGCGUAUUUAUUAACUGUAAGUACGUUGAUAGUACCAGAAGAGGAAGAGACGGCUAACUCUGUGCCAGCAGCCGCGGUAAUACAGAGGUCUCAAGCGUUGUUCGGAUUCAUUGGGCGUAAAGGGUGUGUAGGUGGCGCGCUAAGUCGGGUGUGAAAUUUCGGAGCUUAACUCCGAAACUGCAUUCGAUACUGGCGUGCUUGAGGACUGGAGAGGAGACUGGAAUUUACGGUGUAGCAGUGAAAUGCGUAGAUAUCGUAAGGAAGACCAGUGGCGAAGGCGGGUCUCUGGACAGUUCCUGACACUGAGACACGAAGGCCAGGGGAGCAA